rnacentral:rRNA from 1 species
GACGAACGCUGGCGGCGGGCUUAACACAUGCAAGUCGAACGGAAAGGCCCUGCUUGUGUGGGGUGCUCGAGUGGCGAACGGGUGAGUAACACGGGAGUAACCUGCCCUUGACUUUGGGAUAACUUCAGGAAACUGGUGCUAAUACCGGAUAGGAGCUCCUGCUGCAUGGUGGGGGUUGGAAAGUUUGGGCGGUUGGGGAUGGACUCGCGGCUUAUCAGCUGGUUGGUGGGGUAGUGGCUUACCAAGGCUUUGACGGGUAGCCGGCCUGGGAGGGUGACCGGCCACAUUGGGACUGAGAUACGGACCAGACUCCUACGGGAGGCAGCAGUGGGGAAUAUUGCACAAUGGGCGGAAGCCUGAUGAAGCAACGCCGCGUGCGGGAUGACGGCCUUCGGGUUGUAAACCGCUUUCGCCUGUGACGAAGCGUGAGUGACGGUAAUGGGUAAAGAAGCACCGGCUAACUACGUG